rnacentral:rRNA from 1 species
GGUGAUUAUAGCGAUGGGGCUCACCUCUUCCCUUCCCGAACAGAGAAGUUAAGCCCAUUUGCGCCGAUGGUACUGCCACUAGGUGGGAGAGUAGGUCGUUGCCUU